CAUAUCUCGUCUUAGACUGAAUAAAAAACCUCUCCCAUCUCUUUCUUCAUCCUUAUGGCACUGUGAUGGGUAUCUUCCGUUUUCUGUCGACCAGAUUCAGAACACAGAUAAAAAUAACACAUCCAGGGUUGUUUGGUUCUAAUGGGGCAAUGCCCCUUGCUCGAUUUAUGUUUGCGCAUGACAAUAUUCAAAAUACAGUCAUAAAACAGGAUUUUGUUGGUAUUAAUAAAGUAAAUGUUCAGAUUUUACUUUAGUAACCCAUAGUUUCAAAAUUUACUCGAAAAGCCCAAUGGUUAGAAAGCGACCCAAAAGGAAAAGCAAGGCGAUUGCGUUUAAUAGGUUUUUUUUUCUUUCUUUCGUUUCCUUCGUCCCACACUCCAUAAACCCUAAUUGUUGUUAUCCCACUUUCCCUCCACUCGAAAAGCAAAACAAUCUCCACUCUUUUCGUUUUGGUGGAUUUCGACCAUCCUUUCAUGAUGAGUUCUGCUUGCAAGAGGUUGCUGAGCAAGGCCUCGAUGUCGUCUCUCAGAUUCGCUAUCAGAUCUUUGGGCCCGAACUCGUCCUCUCUCGGAACCAGCCAUCGAUCUAUGGCCACUAUCGCCUUUCCUCUCCUCCGCCACGAGCUCCACUCCGCCUCUUUCUCCCCUUACAAAUCCUUGCAGCUAUCAGCGAAUGGGAAGACGUCUUUGGGUUUCUCAGCGAGGGCUUUCAGCGUCCGUUGUGAUGUUACUGAGACCACCAUCUCUAUGGAAGAAAGGG